GAGGGUAUAGCUCAGUGGUAGAGUGCGUGCUUAGCAUGCAUGAGGUCCUGGGUUCAGUCCCCAGUACCUCCA
rnacentral:tRNA from 1 species